GACGAACCGUCCAAACGUUGUUCGGAAUUACUGGGCGUAAAGCGCACGUAGGCGGAUUGUUAAGUGAGAGGUGAAAUCCCGGGGCUCAACCCCGGAACUGCCUUUCAUACUGGCAGUCUCGAGUUCGGGAGAGGUGAGUGGAAUUCCGAGUGUAGAGGUGAAAUUCGUAGAUAUUGGGAAGAACACCAGUGGCGAAGGCGGCUCACUGGCUCGAUACUGACGCUGAGGUGCGAAAGCGCGGGGAGCAAACAGG
rnacentral:misc_RNA from 1 species